rnacentral:rRNA from 1 species
CAGUAGCCGCGGGAAUACGAAGGGUGCAAGCGUUGUCCGGAAUUAUUGGGCGUAAAGAGCUCGUAGGCGGUCUGUCGCGUCUGGUGUGAAAUCCCGAGGCUCAACCUCGGGCUUGCAUCGGGUACGGGCAGACUAGAGUGCGGUAGGGGAGACUGGAAUUCCUGGUGUAGCGGUGGAAUGCGCAGAUAUCAGGAGGAACACCGAUGGCGAAGGCAGGUCUCUGGGCCGCAACUGACGCUGAGGAGCGAAAGCAUGGGGAGCGAACAGGAUUAGAUACCCCCGUAGUCUCUGUCUCUUAUAC